AAACACUUAUUGUCAACCACCACAAAUAGGCUUCAUUGGAUUCCAUGGUAUUGGAUUUCAUGGUACUACUUAAUUUAAGUAUUCCAGUGUUUUAGUCCUAAAAAGAUAAAUAACAUUUCUUUCAUCAAAUGUUUGAAUUCUAAGCUUCAUUUAUUAUUUGUAACUUUAUUUUAACAUCAUUCAUAAAAUUAAUAAAGAAUUAAAAUUAUCCACUUACUAGGUUUUCAUUAUUAUAAAAAUAAGUGAUUUAUGCAUAUAUUAUGAAUUAGUUUGAAUGGAUAGAAUGAGGUGGGAAUGGAAUGACAUGGGAUAAAGUGACAUCCUAUUAUCUGAAUUAGUUAAAAUUGGAUGUAGUAUAAUGAAGUUGUAAUGAUACCAGCUCAGUCUCUUUUCACCGCUCACGAAUUCAGAAGAAGAAAGAAGAAGUCUCUUUUCACCGCUCACGAAUUCAGAAGAAGAAAGAAGAAG
rnacentral:lncRNA from 1 species